rnacentral:RNase_P_RNA from 1 species
GGGGAAGGAUGAAGGGUCGCUCUGACGGUCUGUCCUCAGGGACUGGCCGUCGGGGAGGAAAGUCCGAACUCCCAAAGUGAAUGCUGGUUUCGGCGUUCACUUUAACAAGGCAGUGGGUAACGCCCAUACACCGCAAGGUGAGAGGUGCGAACAGUGACGGCCGGGUCCGCAAGGGUCCGGCAUCCGUGAUGGAUGCGGAGAUAUUCGUAGGGAACCGUCGGCGGCGCGAUGUGUGUCCCGGCGACUAACACGAAUGUGAAACGGCUAAAUCCUUGCCCGGGAGCAAGUCCAAAUUAGGUAGGACGCAUAACUCUGGUGGCAACGCCAGAUGUAGAUAAAUGACCCGCACGGGCGAAUAAUAACUUUGCAAAGUUAUUCGUCUGACAGAAUUCGGCUUACAAUCCUUCCCCUGUU